GGAGCUGUGCCUGAAGUAAAGGACCACUAUGAUAAGGUGGCUAAUGGAGGUUAAAAUCCUCCCAUCUCCU
rnacentral:tRNA from 1 species